UGAUAAGGUCACUCAUACGUGACGUGGCGCUGAAUAACACACGUCCAAAUCGUGAAGGUUUGCGAGAGUUGCAGAGGCAGCGUGCGUCUGAACUGCUGGAGAUGAACAGAGAGAGGCAGGAUGCAUAUGUAAAUAAAAAUCGCAAACCAGCACGCCUCUUUAAACUUAACGAUAUGGUCUUUGUCACAAAGUGUUCACAGAUGUCUGGCAAGCUGGACUCAGGGAUGCGAGGGCCUUAUCGGGUAAAGAAGGUUUUGCCCCAUGGCCGUUACGAACUGCAACUGCUUAGUGGUUCAUACGGCAAGAUAACUCAGGCUGCUGCUGAGCACAUGGUUAUUUGGCGAGGAGAGUGGACCCCUGAGUCCUGUGCAACUUUUUUCGAUUCAAUGGAAGAAGACAUUGCAGACAGUGAAGCUCAGCGUUGUGAGCAACAGGGUCCAUCCAGGGAAAACGCCAACCAGCCAACAGAAGCCGUACCAGUGGAAGUCAUCCCGGAGAGUCCAGCCAGCUGCCAUGACGUCUGAACAUACGUGACACACAUGAAGGAAGUGUUCGAGGACGAACACCUGUCAGGAGAGGCCGUGUUAGCGGUGUCCGCCACCCUGAGAGCAUCACUAGCCGCGCGCCUAUAAAAGCGGAGUGAGAGGUUGCGCCGCCCUCUUUCCUGAUCCAGCCGUCGAAGCGUUAGCACUGUUCAGCUCGUGUCUAGUGUAGCUAGGUUAUUUAGUGAUAGGUUAUAGUUGUGUUUAGCGUGGUUUAGUUUUGUGAUUUAGUUGUGUAAAUUAUUGUUGAUAAAUGAUUAAUUAAGUUUGUAAAUAUUAAUUGAUUAAAGGUUGUAGGUGUCCUGUG